GAUGAACGCUAGCGGCAGGCCUAACACAUGCAAGUCGAGGGGUAGAUGUUUUCGGACAUUGAGACCGGCGCACGGGUGCGUAACGCGUAUGCAACCUACCUUGAACAGGGGGAUAGCCCAGAGAAAUUUGGAUUAAUACCCCAUGGUAUUAUAGAAUGGCAUCAUUUUAUUAUUAAAGUCACAACGGUUCAAGAUGGGCAUGCGUCCCAUUAGCUAGAUGGUAAGGUAACGGCUUACCAUGGCUACGAUGGGUAGGGGUCCUGAGAGGGAGAUCCCCCACACUGGUACUGAGACACGGACCAGACUCCUACGGGAGGCAGCAGUGAGGAAUAUUGGACAAUGGGCGCAAGCCUGAUCCAGCCAUGCCGCGUGCAGGAAGACGCAUCUAUGGUGUGUAAACUGCUUUUAUACGGGAAGAAACACUCCUACGUGUAGGAACUUGACGGUACCGUAAGAAUAAGGAUCGGCUAACUCCGUGCCAGCCGCCGCAGUAACAC
rnacentral:rRNA from 1 species